rnacentral:rRNA from 1 species
GACGAACGCUGGCGGCGUGCUUAACACAUGCAAGUCGAACGGAAAGGCCCUGCUUUUGUGGGGUGCUCGAGUGGCGAACGGGUGAGUAACACGUGAGUAACCUGCCCUUGACUUUGGGAUAACUUCAGGAAACUGGGGCUAAUACCGGAUAGGAGCUCCUGCUGCAUGGUGGGGGUUGGAAAGUUUCGGCGGUUGGGGAUGGACUCGCGGCUUAUCAGCUUGUUGGUGGGGUAGUGGCUUACCAAGGCUUUGACGGGUAGCCGGCCUGAGAGGGUGACCGGCCACAUUGGGACGGAGAUACGGCCCGGACUCCUACGGGAGGAAGAGGUGGGGAAUAUUGCACAAUGGGCGGAAGCCUGAUGCAGCAACGCCGCGUGCGGGAUGACGGCCUUCGGGUUGUAAACCGCUUUCGCCUGUGACGAAGCGUGAGUGACGGUAAUGGGUAAAGAAGCACCGGCUAACUACGUG